GACGAACGCUGGCGGCGUGCUUAACACAUGCAAGUCGAACGGAAAGGCCCUGCUUUUGUGGGGUGCUCGAGUGGCGAACGGGUGAGUAACCCGUGAGUAACCUGCCCUUGACUUUGGGAUAACUUAAGGAAACUGGGGCUAAUAGCGGCUAGGAGCUACUGCUGCAUGGUGGGGGUUGGAAAGUUUCGGCGGUUGGGGAUGGACUCGCGGUGGAUCAGCUAGUUGGUAGGGUAGUGGCUUAGCAAGGCGUUGACCCGUAGCCGGCCUGAGAGGAGGAGCGGCAACACGGGGACUGAGACACGGCCAAGACUCCUACGGGAGGCAGCAGUGGGGAAUAUUGGACAAUGGGCGAAAGCCUGAUCAAGCCAUGCCGCGUGAGUGAUGAAGGCCUUAGGGUUGUAAAGCUCUUUUACCCGGGAUGAUAAUGACAGUACCGGGAGAAUAAGCUCCGGCUAACUCCGUG
rnacentral:rRNA from 1 species